GCGAGCGUAGUCUAGUGGUUAUGAUGUCUGCUUUACAUUACAAUGCAAAGCGCAGAAGGUCGGGAGUUCGAUCCUCCCCGCUCGUA